GCAGCUGCUGCCGCUGCUGGGACUGGAUGGGCGACUGAGCCUGUGGCCCGUUCAGCUGCCAUUAGGGGAGAAAAGGAGGUGGUAUGCAACUACUUUCAAGCAGCGCCAUGCCGGAUCACACAAGCCAGAAAGGAGGAAAGGCUCGCCACGCGCCCUUUCCUCCUCGCCCGAUGAGAAGGUCUAUAGGACUCCACCUUUAUACCAUACCCAAUGUACUUAGCUUCACGUGAUUAAUAAAAGAACUUGAACUUG
rnacentral:lncRNA from 1 species